AAAAAAAUGGGUUAACCCUAGCUGGACCUGGCACCCAGACCACUUCAUUAAGCUGAAGUGGUCUGGGUGCCUAGAGUGGUCCUUUAAGAGAAAUUAAAUUUUUCUUGGUCCCAAUAUUAAUUACACACACAUCUCAUCUGGGGUGCUGGGGGGUUAAGUGUCCAUUAUGUUUCAGUGACACAGAGGACAAUAAUUCAAGGCAAAUAAUGCAAAGAUAUUAUUUAGCCAUAUUUAAAUUCUAUAAUUUUGCCUUAAAAAGGUUACAGACUAUUAU